rnacentral:rRNA from 1 species
CUGCUGCCUUCCGUAGGAGUUUGGGCCGUGUCUCAGUCCCAAUGUGGCCGUUCACCCUCUCAGGCCGGCACUGAUCGUUGCCUUGGUAGGCCAUUACCCCACCAACUAGCUAAUCAGACGCGGAACCAUCGUAUACCACCAGAGUUUUUCACACCGCUUCAUGCGAAGCUGUGCGCUUAUGCGGUAUUAGCACCUAUUUCUAAGUGUUAUCCCCCAGUAUACGGCAGGUUUUCCACGCGUUACUCACCCGUCCGCCA